rnacentral:sRNA from 1 species
AAAUUUGAGGGUGACCUGGUUCUGACAAGCCACCCCACUGAUCACCAGUGUUUUUUUAACUGAUCUUACUGGCUUGCUGGGUGUCCCCUUUCUCCUCCACCGUUUAAGGUUUGUCCUUCUGAAACAGAACACUUGGUCAAAAAGAUACUUUAAAAAAAAAAUUAUAGAACUUUCUGUGUUGAUUUCUAUGGUGAUUUCUGUUUAGGUAAACAUCAAAAUUCUGGUUU